rnacentral:rRNA from 1 species
UAUGUAGGGCGCGAGCGUUGUCCGGAAUUAUUGGGCGUAAAGAGCUCGUAGGCGGCCUGUUGCGUCCGCUGUGAAAUCCCAGGGCUCAACCCUGGGCGUGCAGUGGAUACGGGGCAGGGCUGGAGGCAGGCAGGGGAGAACGGAAUUCCCGGUGUAGCGGUGAAAUGCGCAGAUAUCGGGAGGAACACCGGUGGCGAAGGCGGU